GACGAGGUCCACAAACGUUAUUCGGAAUUACUGGGCUUAAAGCGUGCGUAGGCGGCCUAGCAAGUCAGGUGUGAAAGCCCUCGGCUCAACCGAGGAAUUGCGCCCGAAAACUGCUGGGCUUGAGUGGAGACAGAGGUGAGCGGAAGCUGAUGGUGGAGCGGUUGGAAAUGGCGGUUGAUAUCAUCAGGAACACCGGUGGCGAAGGCGGCGUCACUGGGUC
rnacentral:rRNA from 1 species